rnacentral:rRNA from 1 species
UACCGAGGGUGCAAGCGUUAAUCGGAAUUACUGGGCGUAAAGUGUGCGUAGACGGUUAUGUAAGUCAGAUGUGAAAGCCCCGGGCUCAACCUGGGAAUUGCAUUUGAGACUGCAUAGCUAGGGUGCGGAAGAGGGAAGCGGAAUUUCCGGUGUAGCGGUGAAAUGCGUAGAUAUCGGAAGGAACACCAGUGGCGAAAGCGGCUUCCUGGUCCAGCACCGACGUUCAGGCACGAAAGCGUGGGGAGCAAACAGG